rnacentral:lncRNA from 1 species
AAAAAUCGGAAAUUUUCCGAAACACCCAAAUCCGAUCCGAUCCGUCCGAUUUCCACCCCUAGUUGUAUUUCAUGUUUUACGUGAAGAUGAUUGACAUGAUAAAACAAACUAGACUAGAGCACACAUACAUACUGCUCUGGGACUCUGCCUCUUGAGUCGGCAUGACCUAACUGUGGUAAGGGUUCGAUUCGAACACUGUACUCUCUUGCUCCAUCAACUAGACGACCCCUGCCUUAAAUGUUCAAAUAUUUUAUUUUGAGCAAGUAUAAUUGAGAGGAGUUUGGAAAUUCAAAACAAACGCAAAUUUUCAAUUUCCCAAAACCAAACAUUGUAUAACAACUAAUUAAUUGCAUUUAAAAAAAAACUGGAAUCAAAUUUGAGAUGUGAGAUUUAUCUUCUUAUUACUUAAUAACGGAAAAAUACAUGUGGUGGCAUGUCAUUUGAGUUUCAAUCCUUUAUAAUAAUAAGUCUGUGUAAUAAUAUAUUAUACUAUAUAUAAUCCCCAAAAAGGAAAGCAAUAGAGGCGAACAUAUUGGCCUUGCCGUCCGUUUGAUUAUUACUCAACCCUCCGCCGUCGUAUCUCCG